GAUGAACGCUGACAGAAUGCUUAACACAUGCAAGUCAACUUGAACUUCGGUUUGGGUGGCGGACGGGUGAGUAACGCGUAAAGAACUUGCCUCACAGCUAGGGACAACAUUUGGAAACGAAUGCUAAUACCUGAUAUUAUGAUUAUAUGGCAUCGUAUAAUUAUGAAAGCUAUAUGCGCUGUGAGAGAGCUUUGCGUCCCAUUAGCUAGUUGGAGAGGUAACAGCUCACCAAGGCGAUGAUGGGUAGCCGGCCUGAGAGGGUGAUCGGCCACAAGGGGACUGAGACACGGCCCGUACUCCUACGGGAGGCAAGAGUGGGGAAUAUUGGACAAUGGACCGAGAGUCUGAUCAAGCAAUUCUGUGUGCACGAUGAAGUUUUUCGGAAUGUAAAGUGCUUUCAGUUGGGAAGAAAAAAAUGACGGUACCAACAGAAGAAGUGACGGCUAAAUACGUG
rnacentral:rRNA from 1 species